GGCUCACCUGGCGACUGCGCGCCUGAGCGCCGCUCUAGUGCCAAGAACCACCUCGUUCCUGUUCCUCCCCUCUCCAAACCUAUCUAACUCUCUGCUGCUGCUGCUGCUGCUGCUGCUGCUGUUACUACUACUAAUACUACUACUAUUACUACUACACACACUAUAUACCUACCUACCUACGUACGUACGUGUACGUAGAUACGUACGUACGUACGUACCUACCUACCUACCUACCUACCUACCUACCUACUAUCCCCACUCUUCUCUACCCUCGUUAUUACGACUGUAUAAGUGUGAGGGACGGCCGACGGAUAUACUAGAGGUAGGAAUCGAGAAACCGCGGAAAUUUGACGCAUCGACAUCUACGCUCAGUCCAUUCCCAUGUGAGAAAUCCAUAUCCAAAGGCAAGAUGAUGGG